rnacentral:rRNA from 1 species
GAGUUUGAUCUUGGCUCAGGAUGAACGCUGGCGGCGUGCUUAACACAUGCAAGUCGAACGGACUCAUAUUGAAACCUAGUGAAGUAUGAGUUAGUGGCGGACGGGUGAGUAACACGUGGGGAACCUGCCCUUAAGUAGGGGAUAACAUUUGGAAACAAAUGCUAAUACCGUAUAACAACAUAAACCACAUGGUUUAUGCUUGAAAGAUGGCUCUGCUAUCGCUUUUGGAUGGACCCGCGGCGUAUUAGCUAGUUGGUGAGAUAAUGGCUCACCAAGGCGAUGAUACGUAGCCGACCUGAGAGGGUAAUCGGCCACAUUGGAACUGAGACACGGUCCAGACUCCUACGGGAGGCAGCAGUAGGGAAUCUUUCACAAUGGACGAAAGUCUGAUGAAGCAAUGCCGCGUGAGUGAUGAAGGGUUUCGGCUCGUAAAGCUCUGUUGUUAGAGAAGAACAGGUAUAAGAUUAACUGUUUAUACUUCGACGGUAUCUAACCAGAAAGUCACGGCU